GAUGAACGCUGGCGGUAUGCCUAACACAUGCAAGUCGAACGGCAACGCACUAACGGCUGUCUCUUACUGGUGGCGGGGGGAGUACGGGGGGGGAAUACAGCGCACUCUACUUGUUCAUGGGUGGGAACGUAGGGAAACUUACGGUAAUGCCGCAUUGGACCUACGGGGGGAAUCAGGAGAUCUUGGGGCCUUGGGCGGUUGAGUGAGCCAAUGUCGGGUUAGCUGGGUGGCGGGGUAAAGGCCCACCAAGGGGACGCUGCGUAGCCGGUCUGAGAGGAUGAACCGGCACACUGGAACUGAGACACGGUCCAGACUCCUACGGACGGCCGAAGUGGGGAAGAUUGGCAAAUGGGGGGAAGCCUGCUCCAGCCAUACCGGGUGGGUGAAGAAGGGCUUCGGGUUGUAAAGCCGUUUUGUUGGGAAAGACAAGUAGCAGGUGAAUACACCGCUGUUCUGACGGUACCCAAAGAAUAAGCACCGGCUAACUUCGUG
rnacentral:rRNA from 1 species